rnacentral:rRNA from 1 species
AAGUCGAACGGUAACAGGAAGAAGCUUGCUUCUUUGCUGACGAGUGGCGGACGGGUGAGUAAUGUCUGGGAAACUGCCUGAUGGAGGGGGAUAACUACUGGAAACGGUAGCUAAUACCGCAUAACGUCGCAAGACCAAAGAGGGGGACCUUCGGGCCUCUUGCCAUCGGAUGUGCCCAGAUGGGAUUAGCUAGUAGGUGGGGUAACGGCUCACCUAGGCGACGAUCCCUAGCUGGUCUGAGAGGAUGACCAGCCACACUGGAACUGAGACACGGUCCAGACUCCUACGGGAGGCAGCAGUGGGGAAUAUUGCACAAUGGGCGCAAGCCUGAUGCAGCCAUGCCCGCGUGUAUGAAGAAGGCCUUCGGGUUGUAAAGUACUUUCAGCGGGGAGGAAGGGGGUAAAGUUAAUACCUUUGCUCAUUGACGUUACCCGCAGAAGAAGCACCGGCUAACUCCGUGCCAGCAGCCGC